rnacentral:rRNA from 1 species
GACGAACGCUGGCGGUGUGCUUAACACAUGCAAGUCGAACGGUAAGGCCCUUUCGGGGGUACACGAGUGGCGAACGGGUGCGUAACACGUGAGUAACCUGCCCUCAUCUCUGGGAUAACAGUCGGAAACGGUUGCUAAUACUGGAUAUGAGCUUGCAAGGCAUCUUGUGGGUUGGAAAGAUUUUUUUUGGUUGGGGAUGGACUCGCGGCCUAUCAGCUUGUUGGUGAGGUAGUGGCUCACCAAGGCUUCGACGGGUAGCCGGCCUGAGAGGGCGACCGGCCACAUUGGGACUGAGAGACGGACCAAACUCCUACGGGAGGCAGCAGUGGGGAAUAUUGCACAAUGGACGGAAGUCUGAUGCAGCAACGCCGCGUGCGGGAUGACGGCCUUCGGGUUGUAAACCGCUUUCAAUUGUGACGAAGCUUUUUUGUGACGGUAGCAGUAGAAGAAGCACCGGCUAACUACGUG